rnacentral:rRNA from 1 species
UACGUAGGGGGCUAGCGUUGUCCGGAAUCAUUGGGCGUAAAGCGCGCGUAGGCGGCCCGGUAAGUCCGCUGUGAAAGUCAAAGGCUCAACCUUUGAAUGUCAGCGGAUACUGCCGGGCUAGAGUCCGGAAGAGGCGAGUGGAAUUCCUGGAUGUAGCGGUGGAAUGCGCAGAUAUCAGGAGGAACACCAACGGCGAAGGCAGCUCGCUGGGACGGUACUGACGCUGAGGCGCGAAAGCGUGGGGAGCGAACAGG